rnacentral:tRNA from 1 species
GCCCCUGUAGCUCAGCGGAUAGAGCAGUCGCCUUCUAAGCGAAAGGUCACAGGUUCGAGACCUGUCAGGGGCA